UACGUAGGGUGCAAGCGUUAAUCGGAAUUACUGGGCGUAAAGCGUGCGCAGGCGGUUAUGCAAGACAGAUGUGAAAUCCCCGGGCUCAACCUGGGAACUGCAUUUGUGACUGCAUAGCUAGAGUGCGGCAGAGGGAGAUAGAAUUCCGCGUGUAGCAGUGAAAUGCGUAGAUAUGCGGAGGAACACCGAUGGCGAAGGCAAUCUCCUGGGCCUGCACUGACGCUCAUGCACGAAAGCGUGGGGAGCAAACAGG
rnacentral:rRNA from 1 species